CUGAAAUGAAGAAACCGUUCGCAAGUAUACCGC
rnacentral:sRNA from 1 species